rnacentral:lncRNA from 1 species
AAAAAGGAACGAAAACAAGAGCUAGAACCUAACACAUCUUCUUCAGAUUUUGGACCCUUUCUCUUUCUCUCAAAUGAAAAACCAGCAGACACAUGCAAAGAAAGAGAUCCCAUUUUUCCUUCUUCGAGGACGCCUCCCCCCCUUCUGACUUCACCUUCUUUGUAUUCUUAAUUGAAAAGAAACACACACAAAAAUUUAAAGAGCACAAGAUUAGGGGUGGGAAAAACACAGAGAGAGCACACGAAAAAUAAAAGCUAACGCGAGUGAGUAAGAGAGAUUAAAAUUACCACAGUUGACCACCAUUAUUUGCCGAAACUGUUUGAUUUCAU